rnacentral:rRNA from 1 species
AACGAACGCUGGCGGCAUGCCUAACACAUGCAAGUCGAACGAGACCUUCGGGUCUAGUGGCGCACGGGUGCGUAACGCGUGGGAACCUGCCCUUAGGUUCGGAAUAACUCCCCGAAAGGGGUGCUAAUACCGGAUAAUGUCUUCGGACCAAAGAUUUAUCGCCUUUGGAUGGGCCCGCGUUGGAUUAGCUAGUUGGUAGGGUAAAAGCCUACCAAGGCGACGAUCCAUAGCUGGUCUGAGAGGAUGAUCAGCCACACUGGGACUGAGACACGGCCCAGACUCCUGCGGGGGGCAGCAGGGGGGAAUAUGGGACAAGGGGCGAAAGCCGACUCCAGCAAGGCCGGGUGGGUGAUGAGGGCCUGAGGGUUGUAAACCUCUUUAACCCGGGAUGAUAAUGAAGGAACGGGGAGAAAAAGCCCCGGCUAACUCCGU